CGAGUAGGCGGCGUUCUAAGUCAGACGUGAAAUCCCCCGGCUUAACCUGGGAACUGCGUCUGAUACUGGGAGGCUAGAGUAUGGGAGAGGGAUGUGGAAUUCCAGGUGUAGCGGUGAAAUGCGUAGAUAUCUGGAGGAACACCGGUGGCGAAGGCGGCAUCCUGGACCAUAACUGACGCUGAUCCGCGAAAGCUAGGGAGCAAACG
rnacentral:rRNA from 1 species